rnacentral:rRNA from 1 species
UGCUUUGGUGCCUUCGGGAACUCUGAGACAGGUGCUGCAUGGCUGUCGUCAGCUCGUGUUGUGAAAUGUUGGGUUAAGUCCCGCAACGAGCGCAACCCUUAUCCUUUGUUGCCAGCGGUUCGGCCGGGAACUCAAAGGAGACUGCCAGUGAUAAACUGGAGGAAGGUGGGGAUGACGUCAAGUCAUCAUGGCCCUUACGAGUAGGGCUACACACGUGCUACAAUGGCGCAUACAAAGAGAAGCGACCUCGCGAGAGCAAGCGGACCUCAUAAAGUGCGUCGUAGUCCGGAUUGGAGUCUGCAACUCGACUCCAUGAAGUCGGAAUCGCUAGUAAUCGUAGAUCAGAAUGCUACGGUGAAUACG